rnacentral:rRNA from 1 species
AGCUUAGUUGCCAUCAUUAAGUUGGGCACUCUAAGUUGACUGCCGGUGACAAACCGGAGGAAGGUGGGGAUGACGUCAAAUCAUCAUGCCCCUUAUGAUUUGGGCUACACACGUGCUACAAUGGACAAUACAAAGGGUAGCGAAACCGCGAGGUCAAGCAAAUCCCAUAAAGUUGUUCUCAGUUCGGAUUGUAGUCUGCAACUCGACUAUAUGAAGCUGGAAUCGCUAGUAAUCGUAGAUCAGCAUGCUACGGUGAAUACGUUCCCGGGUCUUGUACACACCGCCCGUCACACCACGAGAGUUUGUAACACCCGAAGCCGGUGGAGUAACCAUUUGGAGCUAGCCGUCGAAGGUGGGACAAAUGAUUGGGGUGAAGUCGUAACAAGGUAGCCGUAUCGGAAGGUGCGGCUGGAUCACCUCCUUU